ACGUAGGAGGCGAGCGUUGUCCGGAUUUACUGGGCGUAAAGGGCGCGCAGGCGGCAGCUUAAGUACGGUGUGAAAUCUCCCUGCUCAACGGGGAGGGUGCAUUGUAAACUGGGCAGCUAGAGGACGGUAGAGGGGGGUAGAAUUGCUGGUGUAGCGGUGAAAUGCGUAGAUAUUGCUCGGAAGGCCGGAGCCGAAGGGGCCCUACUGGUGCGCAACUGACGCUGAUGCACGAAAGCGUGGGGAGCAAACAGGA
rnacentral:rRNA from 1 species